rnacentral:tRNA from 1 species
AGGAAAGGAGAGGGAGGGAU